AGUCUUCAGGAGCAGCUUGUCCAAUUUCCAUGUAGUUACAUAGUUUUGGGUUAGUUUCUUAAUCCUGAGUUCUAAUUUGAUUGCACUGUUGUCUGAGAGACUGUUUCUUAUGAU